CCCAGUUAGGGUUGUCUCCUCACUGUAUGAACUACCAUUUACCCCAUUAGUCAUUGCUAAUGAUUGUCCUAGAAUCCCCUAGUCGACGUUCUUGAACUUCUAAUAUUCGUCCUUAGAAUCAUUUUAAAGCGUUCUUGAACAUUUAAUAUUUGUCCUCAGAAUCGCAUUAAAACGUUCUUGAACUUUUAAUAGUUGUUCUCAGAAUCGCACAAAAACAUUCUUGAACUUUUCUAAUAGUCGUUUUUCAGAAUUCGCCAAACGGCCUUCUUAAACGCUAUUUUUCUUUAGAAAAUGAGAUCGCGAGCCUUUCAGAGAAUGUUGCGUAAAUCAUUUUCUAAAUAUUAUUCGUCUUUUUAUUCCAAAACGUUAUAGAGAAAGCUAAAGAGCGUUCAUAGAACCAUUUCAGAUCGAUUUAAAAAGGUUUUAUAAAAUCGUUUUAAAAAUAUUGUUCGCAAUAUUCAAUCCGAUUCAAGCGACAAGCAGGAAGCAGAUUUAUUGAGUUAAGAUUGUAGGACCGCGAAAAUCCUGAUUGAAAAUUACGAAACAAAAGGCAUAUAAACGAUAAUAUAAAGACUUACAACGUUUAAGAAAUCGUAAGGAAAUAGACGAAUUCACGGAGUCGAGAUUUGAUCUAUUUCCUUAACUCAAUAAAUCGUCCGUAAUGUGUAACGGUUUUUUAUGCGAUUUUUUAAUCCCAGGAUACAACCGUGAUGAGACUGUUUCACAACACCCGAAAUAGAAUCUACUAACUAACUACUACGAUAUACUCUCGAGACACUUACUCUAAAAAAGAAAAAUCUAAAGAGUAUUUUUUUUUCUUUUCUAGUGAGGGAAAGUGAGAAGAGAGAGAGAUCAAUGUGAUGGAAUGAAAUAUUUGUUACUUAGAUUAUGAAGAGAUUAGUAUUUAUAAGAAAAUUUAGCUUGGUCACCAAGCAAGUUAAACUUGGUAACCAAGUUGAUUUGACUUGGCCACCAAGUUGACUUGACUUGGUCACCAAGGUGGCUUAGCUUGGUCACCAAGUUUGCUAACUUGAUUGCCAAGUUUUUUUCUUAAGGCUUAAGCAUUUUUUAUCAUGGUCCAAAACCAACAAAUGAAUCAAUUUGCUCAGCUCAUUUAGCUUGCAAAGUGAGUCCAAAAUCUCCAUAUCUCUUCACAUAACAACAUAAUUUUAUUCAGCCAUUGGGCUUAUAAAAUUUUUCUAUUCACAUAUCCAAUUAUUACCCAGCCAGUGUUAAGCUUAUAAUAAUUGGUCCAAGAACCAAGAGUCUUAGAAGGAUAAAGUGAUGCAAACUGUAUAUCUGAAUCUAAGAACUCAAAAUCUAUGAGUGGAUAUGUCUUUACACUUGGAGGUGCAGUGAUAUCUUGGAAAUCUCCCAAGUAAAUAUUAUUGGCCAGAUUCGAAAGUAAUCUGAGUUCAUUGCUUUAGUCAAAAAGAUGAAGAAGCAGAAUGGCUUUAUAAUUUUGGAAGGUAUUCCAAUGUUGGAGAAACCACUCCAGCUACGCUUAGUCAAUGAGCUAUAGCUCAGGAGCUGGAUACUCUCUAUAAUGGUAAGUCGCAUCACAUAAGACUGCGUAAAACCAUUAGAAACUGUGAUCUCAAAACGUCAGCUGACAACCUUAUGGAUUAUUUACCAAAGGUUUAGCAUGAGAUUAAGUAUUAAAAUCAUUGAAGGGGGAUGUGUUUAUUGCCUCUAUUAAAGGAUGUUUGAUGGAAACCCUACCAACGUGACUGGAGAUCCCAAGAAGUUGGUUCAAAGGGACAACUAAAUCAAACAAAAUCUGAUAAAAGCACUGAAACCUACCCAUAUCCCAAGAUGAUAGUAUGUGCUCCUGUAAAUUUAAGGUUAAGCAUUGGCUUUUAAUGAGAUAAGACCAUGACCUUCAUAUACAUGUAUAUAAAGUAUUACAUGGUACUUUAUUGUGUAUAUGGUAGGUGCACAUGGCAAUCACCUAGUGAGUGUGAAAUGGAGCCGUUUCUAGGAUAAUGAAGGUCAGGCUAUACUCUCCAAGUUCACUCAUGACUAAUCAGGAAAGUUCACGGCAAAAAUGAACACAAUAGAGAACUUAACUCUACGAGAAAAUGCAGCUGUGUUAUAUCUGUUGACUCGGUUUACAUAAACUUUCGGGGGGUUCAAGACAUCAUGUUCACCACCUGAUAAGUAAAUCCGACAGAUAUUAACAAUGAGUAGUUCAAAGCUGAAAAAUGCUACUACAUCAUAUACAGUUAGUUUUUCGCUUAUACUCUCGAAAAGUCUGUCUGUCUAGUCUAUGUCUAGUUGUAGAGUCAGUCGUAGUCUAUCUAGCCUAGUUUUUAGAGUAAUUCUAUUCAUGUGGGAUUGUUGAACCAAUUAUUAUAAGCCUAAUAUGGGCUGAGUAAUAAUUGGAUGUGUGAAUAGAAAAAUUUUAUAUGCCCAAUGGCUGAGUAAAAUUUUGAUUUUAUGUGAAAAGAUAUGAAGAUUUUGGACUCACUUUGCAAGCUAAAUGAGCUGAGAAAAUUGAUUAAUUUAUUGGUUUUAGACCCAUGAUGAAAAAGGCUUAAGCCUUAAGAGAAAACUUGGUAACCAAGUUGGCAAACUUGGCAAUCAAGUUGGCUUGACUUGGUCUCCGUCACACAUUACAGACGAUUUAUUGAGUUAAGGAAAGAGAUCAAAUCUCGACUCCGUGAAUUUCGUCUAUUUUCUUAUGUUUUUUAAACGUUUUUUAUUAUCGUUUUAUAUACUUUUGUUUCGUAAUUUUCAGUCAGGAUUUCCACGGUCCUACAAUCUUAAAUAAUCUUUCAUCUUGAGUAGUUUUUUUUUAGUGAGAGAAAGCUUGGAUUUGUGUGUGUAGUGAGAUGAUGAAUGUGUGGAAUGAGAUAAUUGUAUAUUUAAGAGAUCAUGUAGUAUUUAUAAGAGAAUUUACCUUGGUCACCGAGCAAGUUAAACUUGGUAACCAAGUUGGCUAGAAUUGGCCACCAAGUUGGCUUGACUUGGUCUCCAAGGUGGCUUAGCUUGGUUGCCAAGUUUUCUCUUAAGGCUUAAAAGCCUUUUUCAUCAUGGGUCUAAAACCAAUAAAUGAAUCAAUUUGCUCAACUCAUUUAGCUUGCAAAGUGAGUCCAAAAUCUUCGUAUCUCUUCACAUAAAAUCAAAAUUUUAUUCAGCCAUUGGGCUUAUAAAAUUUUUUUUAUUCGCAUAUCCAAUUAUUACUCAGUCCAUAUUAGGCUUAUAAUAAUUGGUUCAACAAUUGACGACGAUAGAUAGAGAGAGAGGAAGAAGAAGCAAUCCCCUUUCUUUUAUUUUAUCCGGCAGUCAAUUUGACUUUUCUUUUUUAAACUAAAAAGCGAAUGUCGUUAUUACCGUAUCGAUAACUUUGACCAGGUAAUGUAAUAAAACUUUAUUACUCUUCUAAGCCAGAGAGAGAGAGAAAAAAAAAAGGAAAUUAUUACACCAAGAGUCGCAUUUCAUCUUUUUAUUACAGUGUAGGUCACUUUUCACUACUAGGACACUUUUUUUAAGUUUUCUUUGUUUCCUAACUCCUCUAGUUACGUCUUUAAACCAAACACCUAACUAAACUUGUAGUAUUUAAUAUAUUAUAUACUGUCUAGUUAAAUGCUAGAGUUUGAACUAACUUAGAGAUACUGUCUAAUUGUUUAUAUUAUUUUGUAUUUUUAAGUUAAUUCUCCCCUCUCCCCUCUCUCCCGUAACAAAUUAGAGAAAUAACUAAAUUUGCAGAAGGAGAAGAAAGGAAGAAAAUGAGAUUUGCUCAUGCCAAAAUCGAGAAGGAAGAUACCGUCAUAGCUCGUAAUUCAAGCCGCCGCCGCCAACGUAUCUCUGUCUUCCGAUGCACGUAGUCCAAUAGGAAAAUUCCAGUAACAAUCUGGCUAGGAUGAAUAAAAAUCCUCAUGAAGCAACUCAAUGGUGACGCAGUCCAAAACAAUUUUUGUCUGCUUGUUUGAUUGGGUUUUGAAUAAAAACUGAGCAAAGCUUUUAAUCUGCAAAUCGUUAAUUAGCUCCUCCUAGCAAGGUAUGUCAUAUUUCAAAGUGUACCUCUUUGACUUUACCUAAACUUAUGUCUCCGCAAAUUCUUGUUCUUUCCUGUUCUUCUUCUAUUUAACAGAUAUAAACUUGUCGUGUGUUUGAUGCCACUUGUUAAUUUGUGUGUUUUGCUUUUGCUUUUAUGUUUGUAAACAUGAUAACAUGCAAUUGAACGUUUCGAGGAUCAAAAUUCUCUAGCACAAGAUGGAGGCAGUGGUAAGGGUGGCGUAUUGGCCGAAUGAUAGAAAGAAUUCACCAGCUUGUUUUAGUUUCAUGUAUUCUGUAGAGUAAUAGUAAAUGAAACCAAGGCAAAAUGCAAUGUUAUCUACAUGUACACAAUAAACUAAUGGGUUGUUGUCAUUUAACCACCAUAGAAAUGUAUGUACAUAAAAACUUUGAGUUGCAAGUAUCUGAGUUUUUAGUAGA